rnacentral:lncRNA from 1 species
AAACCCCUGCCCUAGGCAUCUCUAACAACUGUCCAAUCCUUCUUCCAUUUAGCACAAUCAAUAUUCCUCUCAUAGUAGAUUCAAUAGAUCCGAUACCUACCCUUAAAUUCUUAAAAUUCCCUCACAUAACAAAGAUAGGUGGGUACCUCUAGUGAACACAUUCUCUUCCAACCUCGUUGCUGCAUCCACUCGCCAAUUUGGAAGUUCUCUUCCUUUAAACAAUUGAAAUCUACCUUCCACCUAAUGGUGACUAUCCUAGUGGCCAUGGAGGGAUGAGGAGGUGGGGAAAG